UACGUAGGGACCAAGCGUUGUUCGGAUUUACUGGGCGUAAAGGGCGCGUAGGCGGCAAUUCAAGUCAUCUGUGAAAUCUCCGGGCUUAACCCGGAACGGUCAGAUGAUACUGCUUUGCUAGAGUGCAGAAGGGGCAAUCGGAAUUCUCGGUGUAGCGGUGAAAUGCGUAGAUAUCGAGAGGAACACCUGCGGCGAAGGCGGGUUGCUGGGCCGACACUGACGCUGAUGCGCGAAAGCGUGGGGAGCAAACAGG
rnacentral:rRNA from 1 species